rnacentral:tRNA from 1 species
GCCUCUAUAGCUCAGUGGUAGAGCACUUGUUUCGUAAACAAGGUGUCGGGAGUUCAAUCCUCCCUAGAGGCU